rnacentral:rRNA from 1 species
CGGGGGCACGGGGGGCCUACGGGAGGCAGCAGUGGGGAAUUUUGGACAAUGGGCGCAAGCCUGAUCCAGCCAUGCCGCGUGCAGGAUGAAGGCCUUCGGGUUGUAAACUGCUUUUGUACGGAACGAAACGGCCUUUUCUAAUAAAGAGGGCUAAUGACGGUACCGAAGAAUAGACCAAUCCCG